UACGAAGGGGGGCUAGCGUUGCUCGGAAUCACUGGGCGUAAAGGGCGCGUAGGCGGGCUGACAAGUCUGGGGUGAAAUGCCGCGGCUCAACCGUGGAACUGCCUUAGAUACUGUCGGCCUCGAGGAAGGUAGGGGCAUGCGGAACUGUAGGUGGAGCGGUGAAAUGCGUUGAUAUCUACAGGAACUCCGGUGGCGAAAGCGGCGUGCUGGACCUUUUCUGACGCUGAGGCGCGAAAGCUAGGGGAGCAAACGGG
rnacentral:rRNA from 1 species